AUCAGAAGUCCUAGUUCCCUAUUAGUGCCUAUAAGAAUGCUCUGUAAACACCCGCCGGCUGACCUGCCGUCAGUGCGCUGGUUAGUUCUGGGCCACCUUGAGGAGGUUGAUAAGCCGAGACACCGAAAGGUGAAACAAGGUCCGGAAGCCAAAAAGGGAGAGUCCGGGCUGGCAGUGACGCGGGACUCUGGUCAGAACCAAAGGCCUCGCACCUCCGAGUGGCCUCCUUUCUGGCUCAAAAGAAGUGUCAGGACGUCUGGAUGGAGCUAAUGACGGUGUUAGGAUCACCCAGAGGCGUCCUCACUUCCCACUCCCGCGCUGCAGGGCUGGGGCCAUGGUCAACAGAAGCACCAUGUGAAGAAGGCCGACCUACAGAGUCCCUCGGCUUGUCAUUUGCCCGGCAGGGAGGUGGGGGACACCCAACCUGAGGACAGUCGGGGGGAUCAGCCGUGGAAGCUCCCGCAGAGGCCCAUCUCCAUGAGGUCACUGACCGAUGCCUGUUGCUGGAGUACCUCACGCUAGCCUGGGCGGGUGAGGCUGAAAAUGAACAGCAUGUCAAGAUGGUGAACUCUUCUUCCCUGGCCAGGGCCAACAGAGCUGCGGGUUUCUCUGCCCUCCAUUGGGGGAGCUUUUUCCUGGGAGAGAAAAAUAAGGCUGCCAAAAGGACAUUUUGUAAAUGUAUUUAUUUUGAAGUAUUUUCUCAUGAUUCAUGUUCUCUCCUCCCAGUCUUCUCUCCCCUUUCCCAGAGCUGACCACAAAUUCCACUGGAUUAUACGGGUAUCAUCACUCUAUACCUAUUCCCAUGCUUUUGUAAUAGACUCGGCUCAAAAAGGAAAUUUUGAAGACGGCAAGUAGAGAUAAUGCUGAAUUGUAUUUUUCCUAGUGUCUCUACAUCCUGGCAGAUUGAGGUUUAAAAUGAAUGAAUCGGGGAAUUCCUUUUGAGGCAUGAUUAUUUUCUAGUUGUGAGCAGCGCCUUGCUCUGCUAUUAAAUCAUGAUUUAAGGGAAAUGUUUUGCUGAAGACAAUUGGUAAACAGAAAACUGGGUAGGAGAGGUAGUUCCCCAUCUGGAGUUCCCCUCUUUUAUCUUGUCAGAGCCUGUUUCCCUAUUGGAGGUUCCCCAUUCCUGUCAUGGGCUGCCAUAACUUGCCCUUGUAAAAUAUUCCAUUAAUCAAUACUGUGAAAUUUAAAUUUAUCAUCAAUAAUUGGUUAAGAACUAUAUCUAAUCAUAAUACAUGAAAAACCCAAUGGAACUGCUAGUCAACACCUGGAGAGGUGAGGGAAGAAGAGAAGGAGACAACCCGAAUCUAGUAACCUUGGAAAACUUAUGUGUAAUUUAUUACUGGAACAAAAUAAAGGAAAGAACCCCAGAAGAAUAUAUAAGUAA
rnacentral:lncRNA from 1 species